rnacentral:rRNA from 1 species
GAUGAACGCUGGCGGCGUGCCUAAUACACGCAAGUAGAACGCUGAAGGAAGGAGCUUGCUCUUUCCGGAUGAGUUGCGAACGGGUGAGUAACGCGUAGGUAACCUGCCUGGUAGCGGGGGAUAACUAUUGGAAACGAUAGCUAAUACCGCAUAACAGUAGAUGUUGCAUGAUAUCUACUUAAAAGGUGCAAUUGCACCACUACCAGAUGGACCUGCGUUGUAUUAGCUAGUUGGUGAGGUAACGGCUCACCAAGGCGACGAUACAUAGCCGACCUGAGAGGGUGAUCGGCCACACUGGGACUGAGACACGGCCCAGACUCCUACGGGAGGCAGCAGUAGGGAAUCUUCGGCAAUGGACGGAAGUCUGACCGAGCAACGCCGCGUGAGUGAAGAAGGUUUUCGGAUCGUAAAGCUCUGUUGUAAGAGAAGAACGAGUGUGAGAGUGGAAAGUUCACACUGUGACGGUAUCUUACCAGAAAGGGACGGCUAACUACGUG